rnacentral:ncRNA from 1 species
UUUCUAUCAGGGUAAACUGCUGGUAACGGCAGGACGUAAAGCCAAGAGGAUUAAAGAGAUGAGCCAGCCGGGCUGCCGAG